rnacentral:misc_RNA from 1 species
AACCCUUUUAGCCUGCAAGAGCUAUUUUUCUGAUGGUUUUUGUAAACAUUAAAAGAUGAAGAGGAAGAAGAAGAAAACAGAUUAGCCUGGCUCAAAACAUCAGCCAUAAUUUCCCACAAGAAAAAGGAGAAGAAGAAGCAAAAACCUUAGAGAAAAAAAAAAGCUUUGGAAAUGAGAAAAAGAUGAGAAGUAGGCGUUUGUUUUUGUUAAAGGUUGAGGCUUUGAAUUGCUUUUGCUUUUCCCUUUGAAAAAAGUGAGUUUCUCUCUCUCUCUUCUCUCUCUAGCGUCUGCUGGUUGAAGAAGAAGAAA